AUACGGAGGGUGCAAGCGUUAAUCGGAAUUACUGGGCGUAAAGGGCGCGUAGGCGGAACAUUAAGUCGGGUGUGAAAAGCUCAGGCUCAACCUGAGUCGUGCAUUCGAUACUGGUGUUCUAGAGUUUUGGAGAGGGAAGUGGAAUUUCCGGUGUAGCGGUGAAAUGCGUAGAGAUCGGAAGGAACACCAGUGGCGAAGGCGGCUUCCUGGCCAAAAACUGACGCUGAGGCGCGAAAGCGUGGGUAGCAAACAGGAUUAGAAACCCCAGUAGUCC
rnacentral:rRNA from 1 species